UACAGAGGUGGCAAGCGUUGUUCGGAAUUACUGGGCGUAAAGGGCGCGUAGACGGCCUUCUAAGUCAGACGUGAAAUCCCCCGGCUUAACCUGGGAACUGCGUCUGAUACUGGGAGGCUUGAGUAUGGGAGAGGGAUGUAGAAUUCCAGGUGUAGCGGUGAAAUGCGUAGAUAUCUGGAGGAAUACCGGUGGCGAAGGCGGCAUCCUGGACCAUAACUGACGCUGAGGCGCGAAAGCUAGGGGAGCAAACGGG
rnacentral:rRNA from 1 species